rnacentral:tRNA from 1 species
GGAAAUUGAUAAUUUUAAGCUUCUAACUUAAAAAAUUGCAAAUAAUUUGUAACAUUUUCU